GGUGAGAUGGCUGAGUGGCCUAAAGCACACGUUUGGAGUACGUGCGUCCUGAAAGGGACCCAGAGUUCGAAUCUCUGUCUCACCG
rnacentral:tRNA from 1 species